rnacentral:rRNA from 1 species
ACGCUGGCGGCGUGCCUAAUACAUGCAAGUAGAACGCUGAAGAGAGGAGCUUGCUCUUCUUGAAUGAGUUGCGAACGGGUGAGUAACGCGUAGGUAACCUGCCUUGUAGCGGGGGAUAACUAUUGGAAACGAUAGCUAAUACCGCAUAACAAUGGGUGACACAUGUCAUUUAUUUGAAAGGGGCAAUUGCUCCACUACAAGAUGGACCUGCGUUGUAUUAGCUAGUAGGUGAGGUAACGGCUCACCUAGGCGACGAUACAUAGCCGACCUGAGAGGGUGAUCGGCCACACUGGGACUGAGACACGGCCCAGACUCCUACGGGAGGCAGCAGUAGGGAAUCUUCGGCAAUGGGGGCAACCCUGACCGAGCAACGCCGCGUGAGUGAAGAAGGUUUUCGGAUCGUAAAGCUCUGUUGUAAGUCAAGAACGAGUGUGAGAGUGGAAAGUUCACACUGUGACGGUAGCUUACCAGAAAGGGACGGCUAACUACGUGCCAGCAGCCGCGGUAAUACGUAGGUCCCGAGCGUUGUCCGGAUUUAUUGGGCGUAAAGCGAGCGCAGGCGGUUUGAUAAGUCUGAAGUUAAAGGCUGUGGCUCAACCAUAGUUCGCUUUGGAAACUGUCAUACUUGAGUGCAGAAGGGGAGAGUGGAAUUCCAUGUGUAGCGGUGAAAUGCGUAGAUAUAUGGAGGAACACCGGUGGCGAAAGCGGCUCUCUGGUCUGUAACUGACGCUGAGGCUCGAAAGCGUGGGGAGCGAACAGGAUUAGAUACCCUGGUAGUCCACGCCGUAAACGAUGAGUGCUAGGUGUUGGAUCCUUUCCGGGAUUCAGUGCCGCAGCUAACGCAUUAAGCACUCCGCCUGGGGAGUACGACCGCAAGGUUGAAACUCAAAGGAAUUGACGGGGGCCCGCACAAGCGGUGGAGCAUGUGGUUUA